AACAGUUAAACCAGAAGAAUGCUGAGUAACAUAUCAUUUGAUAAUGUUAAAAUCCUCAGAAAGAAUUAGUUGGCAAAGCAUGAGCUUUGGGAUCCAAGAGACCAGAGCACUAUCUGACCAUCUUCCUUGCGUGGAGUCAACCAGAUAUCCCUAGUUGUUCUGGAAUUUGUACCCGAGAAGUCAUCAUAGCACCUGCCUCAGUUCUAAGAGCAUUGUCUGGGCUGGGGACACAACACAGCAUCUGCUUCCUGACAUGUGUCUAUCAUCUUCAAGCACUAUAAACUUCAGGACAGUGGCACAUACAAUUCUUUUCUGAAU